rnacentral:rRNA from 1 species
GAUGAACGUUGGCGGCGUGCCUAAUACAUGCAAGUCGAACGAAGACUGUAGUAAUACUGUCUUAGUGGCGAACGGGUGAGUAACGCGUGGGUGACCUGCCCCGAAGUGUGGGAUAACAGUCCGAAAGGAUUGCUAAUACUGCAUAAUAUCCAAGAGAUUAGAUGCUUUUGGAUUAAAGGAGUAAUUCGCUUCGGGAGGGGCCCGCGUCCCAUCAGCUAGUUGGUAAGGUAAUGGCUUACCAAGGCGAUGACGGGUAGGGGACCUGAGAGGGUGGCCCCCCACAAUGGAACUGAAACACGGUCCAUACACCUACGGGUGGCAGCAGUAGGGAAUAUUGCAAAUGGGCGAAAGCCUGAUGUAGCAACGCCGCGUGUGCGAUGAAGGUCUUCGGAUUGUAAAGCACUUUUUGGAGGGAUGAGGAAGGACAGUACCUCCAGAAUAAGCCUCGGCUAACUACGUGCCAGCAGCCGCGGUAAAACGUGCGUG